rnacentral:lncRNA from 1 species
AAGUGAAAAUUUUAAGGGAAUUUAGAAAUUAUUUUUAAGAGCAUGUGAGAAUUAACCACGGAAAUUAACCCUAAAUGAAGAAAAGCCGUUGACAUAGUACAUUGAGAAGCAUGCAAGUCUUUCUUUUGACUCAUGAAGCAAUUAAAAUCAAUUCUGGUGAAUAAAUCAUUGUGAUAGGGUAGGAGACUACAGUUAUCAUAAUCUGGGGGAGAGUCAGUGAAAAGAUAGAAAUUGAGAACGUUCUCACUUAAAAAAAAAAAACAACAACAACCAUUUUUGCCCCAGAGGAUGCAAAUUGAAAACGUCUUUGUUUUUUUUGUUUUGUUUUGUUUUGUUUUUUCUUUUUACCGACAAUUUUAUUUCUGUUCUCACACCCCACCCUCCUUUACAUGAAUAUUAAGGACUAAGGCUUUAGCAACAGGCUUUGGUGGUCGGGGAGGUAGGGGUAAAGGGAAAAGAGUUGUGUAUGGCUUUUCAUAUGUUAAUAAGUUGAUUCCAUGACAACCAUUGAAAAAGAAGGGCUGGAAACAAAAGCUCCAGCCAGAGAGGAUCAGUGCUCUUUCACGGGCGCUGUGAGAAUAACAGCCGAGACUCCCCCCUCUGAAAGGUAUCUGAUGGCCGCUUGUCAAAGGGCUUUGUUUUAAGAGUGCCGAGUCAGUAUAUAAUUAAUGCAGAGUUUUAGGAGUCCAAAUUUCACCCUCCAUGAUGCUUCCCUUUUAAAAGUUUCUAAAUAAGAAUCUGAAACCCAGAGAAUGUGUCACUGCUUCCAGGAGAGACCUGGAAUGUACGUAGACUAUCAUCAGUUCCUAUGAUCUUGCACUUCAGUUUUAAGUAAAAAGGUCAAGGGCUUUUAUCUUCCAGUAUAAGAGGGCGCUCAGAGCUGGGCACUGGAGGAACAACAGCAAAGGCGAAGGCUUGCUCUCCUCUCCAGGCAGCCUUUGAACAUGGUGCAGGACGUUACCUUCAGCGACGUGUUGAAACUGUACAGGUCGCACCCACCAGCCGACCCUAGGACGCUAUGGCAUUCCUGGCCUCUCGUAAGCAAUGGAAAGAAAUCCCGGCUGGCUGUUUAUCCCUCCAGAAACAUGACAUGACAUCCUCAUGCCAGAUUUCCUACUGUCUCGCACAGCGAGGUUUUUACUUUAACUUAAAGUAGUUACACAUAUCAAUUAGCUGUUGUAUCGUGCUACACACUGCAUUCCUUCUGGGCAGUUCUAAAACACUGUAAAGUGUUGCAUACUGCUGACUUUACUAGUUUUCUGUUCGGCCUUGUUUUUCUCUCAUGUGUAUCUCCAGUCUUUGAUUGAAUUCUGUUAAAUUCCUCUUCUUUGUCCCCUUUAAGUAGUUGCCAAAAACUUGCCAUGAGUAACUUGUGAUACAGUGUUUUCUCUGUUUGGAUGGACACAGGAGCUUUUACCACAAUGGAAUGCUUAUGGAAUUACAUAUUUCAAAGGACACUAACAAGAAAAUACAACUUCAUUCAGAGUCAGGUCACAAUGAUGAAUAGUAAUGCCAAAACAAUUUCUAAAGGAACUUUCAAUUUGCUUUUAAAGUAUUGGCUUUGGUCUUCACUGUAAUUCAUGUUUUUUUUCUCAUAAACUUCAUGAACUUAAAAGAAUCUCACUUUCAUGCUGUUAGUGACUAUAGCUGUGUUGUUUGAUGAAAAUAAAAGAGAUAUUGUAGCUAUAAUAAAUCAGAAUUUGAGAUCUGACAAUAAUGUUACCAUGAUUGUAUCAAAAAUAUGCCAAUUUCCAUAAAAUGAUAUUAUUUCCAAAUGCGUAUUUUACUCAAUAUUUGCAGCAUGAAAUUUAUCUUUAUCCAAUAUUUUGGUAAAAAUCACUGAACCAUUCAUUCAUUCAACAAACGUUUGAUAAAUCCUUACUGCGGAUCAGAACUGGAUGAAGUUCUAUAGGUACAAAGAUGACAAUAUGAUUGCUUUCCUUAAUAAAAUUUAUAGUUUAGUGAAAUGGAAAAUUAUAUGAAUAGAUAAUUAU